UGAUUAGGUUGUUGGCGGUGUAAAGGACCACCAAGCCAAAGAUCAGUACGGGCAGUGAGAGCUGUAGCCCGGAGAUGGGGGCUGAGACACGGCCCCAGGCCCUACGGGGCGCAGCAGGCGCGAAAACUCCGCAAUGUUCGAAAGAACGACGGGGGAACUCCAAGUGCACUUGCGUAAGCAAGUGAUUUUUAGUAGUGUAAAUAGCUGUUAGAAUAAGAGCUGGGUAAGACCGGUGCCAGCCGCCGCGGUAACACCGGCAGCUCGAGUGGUGACCGCUUUUAUUGGGCCUAAAGCGUUCGUAGCCGGUUCAGUAAGUCUUUGGGCAAAUCUUCUCGCUUAACGAAAAGAAUUCCGAAGAUACUGCUGGACUUGGGGCCGAGAGAGGUUAGAGGUACUCCUGGGGUAGGGGUGAAAUCCUAUAAUCCUGGGGGGACCGCCAGUGGCGAAGGCGUCUAACCAGAGCGGACCCGACGGUGAGGGACGAAAGCCAGGGGCGCGAACGGGAUUAGAUACCCCGGUAGUCCUGGCUGUAAACGCUGCAUGCUAGGUGUUGCAUGCUCUACGGGGGCAUGCAGUGCCGAAGAGAAGUUGAUAAGCGUGCCGCCUGGGAAGUAUUAUCGCAAGGUAGAAACUUAAAGGAAUUGGCGGGGGAGCACCACAAGGGGUG
rnacentral:rRNA from 1 species